UAAACCUGCCUCUUAGCGGGGGGUAACUAUUGGAAACGAUAGCUAAUACCGCAUAAAAGUACGACAUUGCAUGAUGUUGACUUGAAAGGUGCAAUUGCAUCACUAAGAGAUGGACCUGCGUUGUAUUAGCUAGUUGGUGAGGUAACGGCUCACCAAGGCGACGAUACAUAGCCGACCUGAGAGGGUGAUCGGCCACACUGGGACUGAGACACGGCCCAG
rnacentral:rRNA from 1 species